AAAUGAAUGUCGCUACGUUUUCAAUACAAAUUUUUCUUUGUUUUUUCUUUCUUUUCUUUUUUUUUUUAAGUGAGGCUGCAUAAGAGAUUAGACGGAACGCAAAAGGCGCAAGCAAGAAAAGACGAAGAAGAAUUCAA
rnacentral:ribozyme from 12 species